UCAUUAGCAUGGGCAAGCCUCCUCCC
rnacentral:piRNA from 1 species